GGCUGUGGCAUCUGUAGCUGAAGCGGUGGCGGGAAGGCUGCUGUGUGGGUUGAUUGACUUUCACGUCGGUGUUUGGAUUCGGCUCAGUGGUUUGAGUUGUGUUUUACUCCACCUCUCGGCCUGGAGCUGCAGCUGCGCCCCAGUGGACCAAAGCAGCAGGGAUGGAGAGCCCAAACCUUGGGGACAACAGAGUCCGUGGAGAGAGCCUAGUUCCAGACCCGCCUUGGGAUCGCUGCAAGGAAGAUAUUGCUGUUGGACUGGGAGGAGUGGGAGAAGAUGGAAAGGACCUGGUGAUAAGCAGUGAGCGCAGCUCCCUUCUCCAAGAGCCCACUGCUUCUACUCUGUCUAGUACUACAGCGACAGAAGGCCACAAGCCUGUCCCGUGUGGAUGGGAAAGAGUUGUGAAGCAAAGGUUAUCUGGGAAAACUGCAGGAAAAUUUGAUGUAUACUUUAUCAGCCCACAAGGAUUGAAGUUCAGAUCAAAACGUUCACUUGCUAAUUAUCUUCUCAAAAAUGGGGAGACUUUUCUUAAGCCUGAAGAUUUUGAUUUUACUGUACUGCCGAAAGGGAGCAUCAAUCCCGGUUAUAAACACCAAAGUUUGGCAGCUCUGACUUCCCUGCAGCCAAAUGAAACUGACGUUUCAAAGCAGAACCUCAAGACACGAAGCAAGUGGAAAACAGAUGUGUUGCCUCUGCCCAGUGGUACUUCAGAGUCGCCAGAAAGCAGCGGACUGUCUAACUCUAACUCGGCUUGCUUGCUAUUGAGAGAACAUAGGGACAUUCAGGAUGUUGACUCUGAGAAGAGGAGAAAGUCCAAAAGAAAGGUGACUGUUUUGAAAGGAACUGCAAGUCAGAAAACCAAACAAAAGUGCAGGAAGAGUCUCUUAGAGUCUACUCAAAGAAACAGAAAAAGAGCAUCUGUGGUUCAGAAGGUGGGUGCUGAUCGCGAGCUGGUGCCACAGGAAAGUCAACUCAACAGAACCCUCUGCCCUGCAGAUGCCUGUGCAAGGGAGACUGUUGGCCUGGCUGGGGAAGAAAAAUCACCAAGCCCAGGACUGGAUCUUUGUUUCAUACAAGUAACUUCUGGCACCACAAACAAAUUCCAUUCAACUGAAGCAGCAGGUGAAGCAAAUCGUGAGCAGACUUUUUUAGAAUCAGAGGAAAUCAGAUCGAAGGGAGACAGAAAGGGGGAGGCACAUUUGCAUACUGGUGUUUUACAGGAUGGCUCUGAAAUGCCCAGCUGCUCACAAGCCAAGAAACACUUUACUUCUGAGACAUUUCAAGGUACUCAGUGCAUGAAAAUUCUGUUAGCUGUGUGGUGAACUGUCUACCCUCGCGGAUCUUGUAUUUCGUGCCGGGAUGGGGUUGAGAUAGAGAGUAUAGUGAAGAAGAGUCAAGCGUCAGAUAUAUUCUCCCAGUUGAUCCCAAUAUCUGCCCUAAGUGAUUUUUGAGAACAGGGUUUCAUGUAUCCCAGCCAGCCUGGGUCUCACUGUAUAGCUGGAGAGACUUUCGAAAUUGUAUCCUUCUGACUCUGCUUCCUGGGUGCUGAAAUUAAAGGCAUGUGCCACUAUGCAAGUUUAUGUGGUGCUGGGCACAGAACCCAGGGCUUAAUGCGUGGCAGCUAAGCACUCUAUCAACUGAGUUACAUCUCCAUCCUGUAACUGAUCUUUGAGCUUGGUCAUCAGGCCCUUAAUUAUGGCAGAGAGGUAAUCAGCUGGCUACAGCCAGGAUGCUCAGCAUUGGAAGACUGGUGUGUGAUGGCUGCUACCACCUCUCCCUGGACAGCAGCUAAGAGAAGACAGCAUCCCACGGACACAAGUAGAAAAAAGGAAAACAAGCCUGUAUUUUUCCAGCAAGUACAACAAAGAAGCUCUUAGCCCCCCAAGACGCAAAUCCUUCAAGAAAUGGACCCCUCCUCGGUCACCUUUUAAUCUUGUUCAAGAAAUACUUUUCCAUGACCCAUGGAAGCUCCUCAUCGCGACUAUAUUUCUCAAUCGGACCUCAGGCAAGAUGGCCAUCCCUGUGCUGUGGGAGUUUCUAGAGAAGUACCCUUCAGCUGAAGUGGCCCGAGCUGCCGACUGGAGGGACGUGUCGGAGCUUCUCAAGCCUCUUGGUCUCUACGAUCUCCGUGCAAAAACCAUUAUCAAGUUCUCAGGUAUAAGGAAGGUGACUUUCUCAAGGCUGACCAUGUGUUGGAUGUGUAUCCCUCAGAUGAAUAUCUGACAAAGCAGUGGAGGUAUCCGAUUGAGCUUCAUGGCAUUGGUAAAUAUGGCAACGACUCCUACCGGAUCUUUUGUGUCAAUGAAUGGAAGCAGGUAAGCCCACCACUGGCCAUAUCCAACAUAAGCCAACAUAUUCAGCAUAUAAGUCCACCAGUGUGCCUGGAUCUAUGAGAAAGAAGUCCUGUUGUAGUCCCAACCAGAUUUGCCCUCUGUUCAAAGAGCAGCAGGGGCGUGAGGCUAUGAGUUGUAGUUAUGGACUCUUGAGGUACUGCCCCAGGCCCUGCACUGUGGCCUACUACUGACUUGAGCUUCUGACCCUCCUACCUGUCUGUGUUCUGUUUAAUACUGACAGGGUUCCUUCCUGUUAAAAAAGGAGCCCCUAGUGCUGAGAGGAGAUGGCUUAGUUUGUAAAGUGCUUGCCAUGAGGACUUGAGUUCAGAUCCCUGGAACUCAUGGAAGAGCCAGACAUGGCAUCGUUCACCUUCUAUCUGAUAGAUAGAAGCACUGUGGGGGCAGGAACAGCAGGACGCCUGGAAGUUUCUGGAUAGCCUCUCUGAGCUUGUAUACCAGAUAUCCUACCCUAUGUGGGUAAAGCUCCAGGCCAGUGAGAAACGCUUUUUCUUUUUUUUUUUAAAGAUUUAUUUAUUAUUGUAUAUGAGUACACUGUAGCUGUCUUCAGACGCACCAGAAGAGGGCAUCAGAUCUCAUUACAGAUGGUUGUGAGCCACCACGUGGUUGCUGGGAUUUGACCUAAGGACCUUCGGAAGAGCAGUCAGUGCUUUUAACUACUGAGCCAUCUCUCCAGCCCGAGAAAUGCUUUUUCAAACAAAAAGUGAAUUGUGAGCCAGAGAGAUAGCUCAGGGUGUAAAGGGGCUUGCUGCGCAAGCCUGGUGACAAAAGUUCCAUUCCUGGAACCCACAAAAAGGUAGAAGAAAAGAACUGACUCAAAAAAUUGUACUUCAUAGACAUGCCUCAGUAUAUACACAUACACAACUAAUAAAAUUUAAUUGUUUUCUGAAAGUAGAAGGUACCUGAACCUUCUGGCUAAUACAAGUACCUGUACAUACACACACAUCCACAAAACAGGAUCCCUCGUAAAAGAGGAAAUAUUUGACUUAGAGUGUCUAGUUGUCAGAUUUCUCCUCAUAUCUCAGACUGGAAUGUGGCAUCUGGGUCCUAUUAAAACUACCCAUUCCUUUGUUCCUGUCCCAACACUGGUACAUUUUGAUGGCAGUGUGACAGCUGGAGGGUAGCUUGGCACACUGCCUCCUCACAGUAUGGCCCUGCGUUAAGUCAGUGAUGUCUAGAGAAACCCAGACUGAAGGGCCACAGUUCUACCCCUUCACCACCAGAGCCAUUGGUUAGCUUCACAGGGUCUCUAAUCAUCGCUGCCUUCUGCUCCAGGUCUGGGUUAGUUCUGAACUGGAGAGCACUUUGUAAUCCAUGUAGGAUAUCUGUUGUAUAAGGUAUAACUAUAUACAGUCUUGGAUGCUGUGGGGUUCCAUGUCCCGUUUAUCUCAGGUAUAUUAUCAUGAUGAACCCCCUCACUAAACCUUUAAACAUGUCUAUGGCUGAAUGUUGCAUUUCUUCCAGGUGCACCCUGAAGACCACAAGUUAAAUAAAUACCAUGACUGGCUUUGGGAGAAUCAUGAAAAAUUAAGUCUAUCUUGAAGCUGCCUGUUUGAAGUUUCCCAUGCGUCGCCUUGUGCUUCGGUUUCUAAGGGCCCUGUGGUGUGCAGUGAGCUCCCUUCCCGGCACGUGGAUUUUUUUUUUCAGUUUGUUAGAAGCCAGUGUAUGUCUUAAGCCUCUGCCAAAAAAAAAAAAAAAUUGUUAGAUAAUGAUCCUAAAAGUGUUCAGUUUAGGUUUUCCAAUGAUGAAAUUCAACACGCCAAUGCUCAAAUCCAGUUACCAGCACUCCUGCUAAAGAAAGCCUAAACAUGUAUUCUCCUUCUGUAUAAAGUGAUAUUGUCAUGUGUGGAAAGCCUGCCAUUCUUAAUGGGUAUUCCAGUGUUAUAGCUUAAAUAGUGAGGCAUUUACUUUAGAAAGAUAUCACUAACUAAAAACCGAAUUGACCUUACAUGGUGGCACACCCCUGUAAUCCCAGCACUCAGGAGGCUGAGGAAGAAGGAUGGAAAGUUGAGGGCCUGCCUCUUCUGUGUAGAGAGAGACUCUGCCUCAAGCACAAACAGGGCAGGGCCAGCAAGUGGCCCAGUAAAUGAAGUCACUUGCUGCCAGGCAUGAUGAUCUGAAUUCCAUCCCUGGAACACACUCCUGAAGGUUGGCCUCUUACCUUCACUUGAGCUCAUACAUAACAUGUUACAAAAUACAUAAAAUUUUCAGAAAUGGUCUGCAGAGAGAUGGUUCAGUAGUUUAAUAUGCUUGCUGCUUUUAUAGAGGUUACUUUUUAGCACCCACAUCAGGCAGCUCACAACUGCUUAUAACAGCUCCUGGGGAUCUGUCACCUUCUUUUGGCUUCAUUGGGUACCUUAGCACAUGUGGCAUAUAUAGAUAUAAAGAUAUACAUAAACAUAAAAAAAAAAUUAAGUCCUAAUUACUUAACACUUUUUUUUCUUUUUGGUUUUCCGAGACAGGGUUUCUCUGUGUAGCCCUGGCUGUCCUGGAACUCACUCUGUAGACCAGGCUGGCCUCAAACUCAGAAAUCUGCCUGCCUCUGCCUCCCAAGUGCUGGGAUUAAAGGCAUGCGCCACCACUGCCUGGCUACUUAACACUAUUUUAAAAUGUAGUUUGAAAAUUAAAUUAUAUCUCCUCCUCAAGGCAAUAUUACUCAAAAAUGCAUAGUAUUCCACCCCAUUUUUCAUUAAUAAAAUAUAUUUUUCAUUAAUAAAAUAUAUUCACCCAUGCCAGUCAUCAUGGUAUACUACUAUAAUCCUAACACUUGGGAGUCUGGAGAGAAUCAUGAUCAAGGCCAGCCUGGGCUAUAUGGUAAGACCCUAUAUCAAAAAAGAGCAAAAAAACAAACCAAAAGAUCCACUAGUGGCACACACACAGACAAUGAGCAGAUGGGCCUUAUAAUGUAUAUGUGAUGAAAAUACAUACACAGUACCUGGGAUGCUGAUGCAAGAGGACCUCUGAAUUCAAGGCAGCCUGGCUUAUGAGAGUGUGAAGGCAGCUUUGGUUACACAGCAAAACCCUGUACAAAAAAUACAAACCAAGUUUGUUGGACUAAAUAAGCUAUGUCUGCAGAAGUGUCUGUCUGUCUUGUUUAAUGGAAUUCUUUUUUUUAAAGAUUUAUUUGUUUUAUGUAUAUGAGUACACUGUAACUGUACAGAUGGUUAUGAGCCAUAAUGUGAUUGUUGGGAAUUGAACUCAGGACCUCUGCUUGCUUCUGGCCCUGCUCUGGCCCCGCUCGAGUAUAUGGAAUUCUUAAGAUCCUAAUAUACUUAUGAAACCUAUCACUUUGUAUUAGGUAGUUAAUAAAAUAUUUUUAUUAAAAAGUAA